rnacentral:rRNA from 1 species
AGUGAACGCUGGCGGUAGGCCUAACACAUGCAAGUCGAACGGCAGCACAGUAAGAGCUUGCUCUUACGGGUGGCGAGUGGCGGACGGGUGAGGAAUACAUCGGAAUCUACUUUUUCGUGGGGGAUAACGUAGGGAAACUUACGCUAAUACCGCAUACGACCUACGGGUGAAAGCAGGGGAUCUUCGGACCUUGCGCGAUUGAAUGAGCCGAUGUCGGAUUAGCUAGUUGGCGGGGUAAAGGCCCACCAAGGCGACGAUCCGUAGCUGGUCUGAGAGGAUGAUCAGCCACACUGGAACUGAGACACGGUCCAGACUCCUACGGGAGGCAACAGUGGGGAAUAUUGGAGAAUGGGCGCAAGCCUGAUCCAGCCAUACCGCGUGGGUGAAGAAGGCCUUCGGGUUGUAAAGCCCUUUUGUUGGGAAAGAAAAGCAGCAGGUUAAUACCCCGCUGUUCUGACGGUACCCAAAGAAUAAGCACCGGCUAACUUCGUG